rnacentral:rRNA from 1 species
GAAUUCGAUUAACGCGAAGAACCUUACCCAGGCUCGAACGGCAUUGGACAUCCGGCGAAAGCCGGCUCCCGCAAGGGCCGAUGUCGAGGUGCUGCAUGGCUGUCGUCAGCUCGUGUCGUGAGAUGUUGGGUUAAGUCCCGCAACGAGCGCAACCCUUGUCCGCUGUUGCCAUCACGUUAUGGUGGGCACUCUGCGGAGACUGCCGGUGAUAAACCGGAGGAAGGUGGGGAUGACGUCAAGUCAGCAUGGCCUUUAUGUCUGGGGCUACACACGUGCUACAAUGGCCGGUACAAACCGUCGCGAUACCGCAAGGUGGAGCUAAUCGGAGAAAGCCGGUCUCAGUUCGGAUUGCAGGCUGCAACUCGCCUGCAUGAAGUUGGAAUCGCUAGUAAUCGCGGAUCAGCACGCCGCGGUGAAUACGUUCCCGGGCCUUGUCACACCGAAUCACUA